AUUUUUACUGUCAAUGUGAUUGAGCACCUUGAAUGAGGUCAAGGUACACGUAGUAUUAUUUUUCAUGUAGUUACAAUAGAUCCUUGUGGUUCGUAAAAAUAGCACGGGCUAGCUAAUUUUCGGAUUGGUCAUUCAAAAAUAGUCAACAUUUGUAAAGUCAUUGAAAAAUAGCCACUGUUUUGCUGCAACAACCACCGAUCCAAUAUAAUAUACUGGAUAUCGCGGUGCACCUGUGUAUGAACUUCCAGUAUAUUAUGCUGAAAAUCCAACAUGCGGAACGUACCGACAUAUUAUAUUGGAGAUUGGAGCACCUGUGUAUGAACUUCCACCAUAUUAUGCUGGACCGAUGUAUUAUACAGGAACUUCAUUAUAUUAUGCUGGAAUAUUUUCCAGUUUUUGAACAGUGUUUUCGUACAGAUUUAUCUUUACAUGAAAAGUGACUAAAUUUUGAUUACUUUUGAGACUGUGGCUAUUUCUGAAUGGCCACUUGUAGAUCUAGCUAUUUUUUAAUUUCUCCCUUCUGAUCAGG
rnacentral:lncRNA from 1 species